AUGAGCCUACGGGAGGCAGCAGUGGGGAAUAUUGGGCAAUGGGCGCAAGCCUGACCCAGCAACGCCGCGUGAAGGAAGAAGGCUUUCUGGUUGUAAACUUCUUUUCUCAGGGGCGAAGAAAGUGACGGUACCUGAGGAAUAAGCCACGGCUAACUACGUGCCAGCAGCCGCGGUAAUACGUAGGUGGCAAGCGUUAUCCGGAUUUAUUGGGUGUAAAGGGCGUGUAGGCGGGAGCGCAAGUCAGAUGUGAAAACCCAGGGCUCAACCCUGAGCCUGCAUUUGAAACUGUGUUUCUU
rnacentral:rRNA from 1 species